rnacentral:rRNA from 1 species
CAGUAGCCGCGGUAAUACGGAGGGUGCAAGCGUUAAUCGGAAUUACUGGGCGUAAAGCGCACGCAGGCGGUUUGUUAAGUCAGAUGUGAAAUCCCCGAGCUUAACUUGGGAACUGCAUUUGAAACUGGCAAGCUAGAGUCUUGUAGAGGGGGGUAGAAUUCCAGGUGUAGCGGUGAAAUGCGUAGAUAUGCGGAGGAACACCGAUGGCGAAGGCAGCCCCCUGGGCCAACACUGACGCUCAUGCACGAAAGCGUGGGGAGCAAACAGGAUUAGAUACCCCGGUAGUCCCUGUCUCUUAUAC